GGCGGCCUCCUGGAUCUGUACUGACACUGAGGUGCGAAAGCGUGGGUAGCGAACAGGAUUAGAUACCCUGGUAGUCCACGCCGUAAACGAUGACAACUAGCUGUUAGGAGACUAUGUCUUUUAGUGGCGCAGCUAACGUUUUAAGUUGUCCGCCUGGGGAGUACGGCCGCAAGGCUAAAACUCAAAUGAAUUGACGGGGACCCGCACAAGCAGUGGAUCAUGUGGUUUAAUUCGAUGCAACGCGAAAAACCUUACCUACUCUUGACAUACUUGGAAGCUCUUGUAAUGAGAGUGUGCUUUUAAGAACCAAGAUACAGGUGCUGCAUGGCUGUCGUCAGCUCGUGUCGUGAGAUGUUCCGUUAAGUCGGAUAACGAGCGCAACCCUUACCCUUAUUUGCCAGCGAUUCGGUCGGGAACUAUAAGGGGACUGCCGGUGAUAAACCGGAGGAAGGUGAGGACGACGUCAAGUCAUCAUGGCCCUUACGAGUAGGGCUACACACGUGAUACAAUGGGAGAGACAGACGGACGCUAAGCCGCGAGGUGGUGCUAAUCCUAGAAACUCUCUCGUAGUCCGGAUUGGAGUCUGCAACUCGACUCCAUGAAGUUGGAAUUGCUAGUAAUCGCGAAUCAGCAUGCCGCGGUGAAUACGUUCUCGGGUCUUGUACACACCGCCCGUCACACCAUGGAAGUGGAUUGCACCAGAAGUAGAUAGUCUAACCUUAGGGAGGGCGUUUACCACGGUGUGCUUCAUGACUGGGGUGAAGUCGUAACAAGGUAACCGUA
rnacentral:rRNA from 1 species